AAUAUGGAUUGCGAAAGUGAUCGAGUGUAUCACGAAUAUAUAUGAGAUGGAUAUUUUUCGAGAGUUGGGAAUACUAACUUGCUACUACUAAAGAAAAAAAAAGAACUUGUUUCAAAAUUACAAAGAACAUUUAAAAUGCCCGAUACUGUGUUUUAAUUUGAAAUUUGAAUAAAGGUAUCCGAAAACUCCUUAAAUCAAUGACAACCCAAACACAAAACUAAAGAAACAAGGUUAUAUGGAUUUACAAUAAAACAGCUCAAAUAUGUGUGAACAAGAUGAAAAGAGAGAUAGAAUAUUACUUAACAAGUUAAUAAUUCAAAUAUGGAAUACUAAAAUAAACAUGGGUUGGGUCUCGUUUACUCAACAUAAAUGUACUUUUCGAGUGAAAAGAAAUGUGAAUAGUAGUAAGGGAAUAGUUUCAAAAAUCAAUAAAGGUUGUCUCCUUUGAGGAUACCAAAAUCAAAAAUAUAACCAAAAAAUUAUUCAUAGAGGUCCAUUAUUUCAUUAUGAGCUUUGACAAAUCGUUCAAUGUAUUCAGUUCCUUUAGCCAAAAACGUGAUUCGAAUAUGAUAAUCACCUUCUGGUUGCCCAAAUCCACUUCCAGGAACAACACAUAUACCUGAACGCUUAAGCAAUUCUAUCGCAUAGAAUUCGUCAGGUUGAAUUUUCUGAGCUUUGGCUGUAGUGAUUAACUUUUCGGGAAGUGAGACGCUGGGAUGCAAAUACAUGGCCCCCUUGAAAAUAUGAAUUAGUAAAGAAAUGAAAACAUAAUGCAAAUUUUACUUACGUGGGGUUCUAAACAUGAAACUCUCUUCAUGCGCUUUGUUCCCUCGUAGAGCUGACGGCAUUGUAAACGCAGUGCUUCAUGA